rnacentral:rRNA from 1 species
GAGUUUGAUCCUGGCUCAGAACGAACGUUAGCGGCGCGCCUAACACAUGCAAGUCGAACGCGACAGGGGCAACUCUGUUGAGUGGCGCACGGGUGAGUAACACGUAGGUAAUCUCCCCCCGAGUGGUGGAUAACCUUCCGAAAGGAGGGCUAAUACAGCAUAAGACCACGGCUCCGAAAGAAGCUGAGGUCAAAGCGGAGGAUCGCAAGACUUCGCGCUUGGGGAUGAGCCUGCGGCCCAUCAGGUAGUUGGCGGGGUAACAGCCCACCAAGCCUAAGACGGGUAGCUGGUCUGAGAGGAUGAUCAGCCACACUGGAACUGAGACACGGUCCAGACUCCUACGGGAGGCAGCAGUGGGGAAUCUUGCGCAAUGGACGAAAGUCUGACGCAGCGACGCCGCGUGGGUGAUGAAGGCCUUCGGGUUGUAAAGCCCUGUGGGGAGGGACGAAUAAGUUGCAGCCAAUACCUGCAGCGAUGACGGUACCUCCUUAGCAAGCACCGGCUAACUCUGUGCCAGCAGCCGCGGUAAGACAGAGGGUGCAAACGUUGUUCGGAAUUACUGGGCGUAAAGCGCGUGUAGGCGGCUAUGCAAGUCGGAUGUGAAAGCCCUCGGCUCAACCGGGGAAGUGCACCCGAAACUGCAAAGCUAGAGUCUCGGAGAGGAUCGUGGAAUUCUCGGUGUAGAGGUGAAAUUCGUAGAUAUCGAGAGGAACACCGGUGGCGAAGGCGGCGAUCUGGACGGUGACUGACGCUGAGACGCGAAAGCGUGGGGAGCAAACAGGA